rnacentral:lncRNA from 1 species
AAUAAGUAAACAUCAGUACAAUAUGCAGAGCUGAAAGGAAUUCACUCGCCAAUCAUUUACAAUAUACUGGUUGCUUUGUAAUACAAAGUGGGGAAACCCUUUUUCGAAAUAUAUUAGACUGGGCCCAUAUAAUAUGCAGAGCUGAAAACACACUAAUGAGUAAUGACUAAUCACACUUGCAGUCUGCAGUACCAAAUCUGGCAGGAUUGAGAACAUAGCGUAAGUUGUGUGGAGGAAGAUGUGGAAUAACAAUACCCAUUAUGCCACCUUAUUAUAUAAUCAAAUUAGAGAUCAGCCGUCACUGAAUAACCCUCCUGCAUUGCCAAUCGUUGUCUGGGCUCCUAUACAAUUAAGUAGGAAGAAUCGAGUCAAAUAUUUGUCCAAUUAGAAAUGCAUAAACAACGGUGCAGCAAAACAAAACCAAAUGUACUACUGGAUGACCAAGGGUGCUAAUUUUCAAUUGGAUUACCAAGGAUGCAGAUACAAUUAGAAAGCAGUAGAUCGAAUAAAGAAAAAGGGGAAACAGCAACCGCACGGCAGUCACCACCAACUGCACGCUGGCAGAGCUGAACCCAGACAAGCUUGCUCACUGCAAUCUCGAU